rnacentral:rRNA from 1 species
GAAUAGGCCCAGGCGACUGAUUAGCAAAAACACAGGACUCUGCAAAACCGAAAGGUGACGUAAAGGGGCUGACGCCUGCCCGGUGCUGGAAGGUAAAGAGGAGUGCUUAGCAUCGGCGAAGGUACGAAUUGAAGCCCCAGUAAACGGCGGCCGUAACUAUAACGGUCCAAAGGUAGCGAAAAUCCUUGUCGGGUAAGUUCCGACCCGCACGAAAGGCGCAACGAUCUGGGCA